GCAGCUCGGGGUCAGGAAGUAAAUGCAGCCCGUUUGUUUCUGUUGAACCAGCUUCAAAUUGCCUAAAGUUUGAGUCGUUGUUUUAACCAUUCUAAUAGAGAGGAAGAUAAACGUAGAGGUAGUUGGUCGCAAGGGAGUAAAUUUAAAUUAAAAACACAGAAGAAAGAGGAGAAAAGUGGAGCUAGGGCUAAAAACAGGAGGUGCGGAAACUAACAAUGCCAGAGUUUGCAGCGACCAUCUUCUAACAGUGGAUCAAAAUGAGCCAAUCCAGAGUUGAGGAAUGGACCACAGCAGAUGUUCACCACUGGCUCAGGACAGAAGUCAAAGUUUCUACGGCUUGUGCCGACAUAUUCAUUCAGGAGGAAGUAUCAGGAGAAUAUUUAGUCUCCUUCAGAAAGUUGGACAUUUUGGAUUUAGGGAUCAAACAUGGUCCUGCUGUGAAGAUCGCGAGUCACCUGAAAAGCCUGACUGAAGCUUCAGCGCAUCGGUCAGAAUGUCCUGCAUAUGUGGAGGCCUGGACCAAGCAGCAGGUGAGCUGCUGGUUACUGGACCACCUGAAGAUCUAUAUCAAGUAUGUAGAACUGCUUCUAGACCAGGAUGUUUCUGGGGACUGCCUGGUCUGCUUCAGGAAGCAGGACUUCCUGGACCUGAAUGUGAAAAGUGGCCCUGCUGUGAAGAUCCUAGCAGAACUGAAGAAGCUGAACCACAUGCCAGAACCAACCCUGCAGACUAGUCCGGACCAGAGAGACGAAGAUGAACAGGCUCAGCCUGAGAAGAAUCUGCUUCGCACUCUGAGCCAACCUGAACCACAAGGUGACCCUGAAAUGAUUUCAAAAAAGACUGGAGAGAACAGAACAGAACCUUUGGGAGCAGAGCAUCAAGCUGCUAUGGUUAAAUCCCAACCAGAGACAUCAAAGACCACCAUGGUGAUCAAGGACUUCUUAGAUGACCUUCUAAAAGACGACUUGAAGAAGUUUCAUUUCCAUUUAUCUGCAUAUACAAAAUCUAAGACUAAAGCAGUUCGUCGGGGGAAACUGGAAGGCAAAGACACACUGGACACUGCCCAGUUACUGACUAGUCACUACGGCAAUCAGGAAGCUUUAUUGGUCACAAUAAACGUUUUUAGAGAAAUUGGCCAGCGGGAACUUGCUUUGUGUCUGGAAAGGAAAAUGGGUCUACAAGAGCAGCCGUGUCUUUCCAGAGCCGUGACAAACAAAGAAGCUAACCAAGGCGAUAAACUAAAGUUGCUAUUAACUUGUGGUGGAAACUCCCUGGACAGCUACAACAGAUUUGUUAUUGCUGUUAACAAAAGCAGUCCAGAACAAAUUCAGUACCUGAACUUUCUAAGUAAGCUGAAACUAUUCUGUGUGUUGGACUUUGACCCGAACUCUGUAGUUGCAGGUGGACUAUGUCAUUCCUACAGAGAGUCCAGGGUGGCUAAUCUGCAUUUACCAGCACAAUUUCAGGCACAGACCGAGGCAGUUAUAAAGGAGCUGAACCUCUACCUGCAGACCAGUUGGGUCUUCUGUAAUGGCAGACAUGACCUUGAUGGCAACAAAGAGCUAGAUUAUAGGAACUGGCUGAGGAAGUCUUGCAAAGAUGUGGAGCACCUGGUUUGCUUCAUCUGCAGACCUGAUGUUUUUCUGCAUGGAAGAUGUCUGGUCAUAUUCCUUCUCCUCUCUUCUGUGGACACAGAGAAAGAUCCGGUCUUUGAUACCUACAAGUCUUUCCUCAAACACACUGAUGAGACGAACAUCAUUAGCAUUUGUGAAUCUCAAAGUACGUACGUGAAAUGGAGGAAACUUGUUAAGGAAAAGUGUGACUUUGACAUUGAGGAUUUGUCUAUCAGUGAGCUAACUCUUAGUGAGAUCAAUGGGACUAUAAUGGGCCUGGGUCCAAUGACUCUGUCCUCAACCAGGCUGCUUCCGUCCUCUGGCUCCAGUGCUGUCGUCCUGAAACCGAAGGAUGAGGAUCUCCUGACAGCUUUGGAUGUUUUGUGUCUGAAUCAGUGCGAGAACAUCUAUGAUGAAAGCAGCUCAGAGUUUCAGGACUUCAGGAUCACAGUUGAAGAGGAGUUCUACAGAGGAGCCAAAGUUAGAUGGUGGAACUUCUAUUUCUGCGACAAAGAUGUCGAAAAGCCGUUUAUCAAGAGGGACAAGUAUGAAAAUGUGAAGAAAAUGAUCAGAUGGCAGAGAACACAUUCAAAUAACACCUGUGUUCUGCUGACUCUGUUCCAUGACCCAGGAUGUGGUGGAACCACCUUAGUAAAGCAUGUGAUGUGGGACCUCCGGCAGGAGUUCAGGUGUGCUGUUAUGAAAGACAACACAGUCCCAAAGACGGAGGUGGCCAACCAAGUCCGAUGUCUAAUGAAGCUGGAAAGUGAGAAGCCAUCCCCUGUUCUGCUGUUGGUUGAUGACUCAAAGGAAACAGAAAACCCAUUUGAUCUGCUGAGCUGCAUUCAUCAAGCUGUGGAGGAUUUAUCAAACAUUCAUCUGGAUGAUGCUGAGAGCUGCAAAGUUAUCAUGCUUAACUGUGUCCGAUCCCAUAACCCAGUAGAGCAGUACAAACAGCACAGUCAAACCCAGAGCCAGUUCCUGACCGCCAAACUGACAGCACAAGAGCAGAAAGAGUUUGAAAAGAAACUGAAAGAGCUCAAAGAAACCCACGACAAACCUGAGAACUUUUACAGCUUCAUGUUCAUGAAAAACAACUUUGACAAAAAGUACACUGAAAACCUUGCUCGUAACACGCUAGAGAACUUUGAGUUCAGCACCAAGACGGCCAAACUCUUUUCCUUUCUGGCCUUACUCAACACAUUCGUUGCCAAGUCUGAAAUCUCUCUGUCUCUGUGUGAGGAUUUCUUCCAGAUGAAAAUGAUUCGCUGGAAAGAAGACAGUGUUUUGGAUAGAAUGAAGCCAUAUUCCAACUUUAUUAUCAUAGACUCAGUAGACGAAUGGGGUGGAUACAAAGGAGUCCGAAUCCUUCACCAUGCAAUAGCAUCUGCCUGUCUGGAGGAGCUGGAGAAAAGUCAUCACCUGAAAGUCAGUGACAUUGUUAUGGAAAUCCUCCAUUAUGACCUGUUCUUCAGUAUUAGGGUUGUUAAACAAAAACUGAUGUCCUCAAUUCAGCAAAUGUUGAUAGAAAGGCAGCUGAAGAAAGAUGGAAAGGAAAGGGAAACAUUUUCUCCUCUCAUCAAUAAAAUCCACAACCAGCAAGGGAGAAAAACAGUCCAAGAGAUCUUUGUGAAAGCCUCUUCUAGGUUUCAGACCAGUUUAUCCAUUCCUCAGGCAUUGGCUAGAUAUUUGUACAUCAAUGUGCAGGACUUCCCAGAGGCCAUAAAAUGGGCAGAGAAAGCUAAGAAUAUUAAAGAAAACCCCUACACGUUAGAUACAAUUGGACAGAUCCACAAAAGUAACCUGAGGUGUAACAUUGAGAGAGAAAAGCAGGAGACUUCACAUAAUCCAGAAGAUCUGCACAAAAACAUUGAAAUCGCCAAAAAUGCCUGGAAAGCUUUCCAAAGGGCUCAGGAACUGUCGGAUCUGGAAAAUGAACUGGAAGAAGAAGUUGCUGAUGAUGACUCUGAGGAUUGUCCCACAAAAUCCUACAACAUCAAAGGCUAUGUGAGCAUUCUGGAAAUCUGCUUCAUGGUCUUUGAGAUUCUGAGCAAGGUACCUUUCUUUGAAAAAAACAAUCCAUUAAAAAAACACUACCUUCAAAGUUUUCUCAGCGGAUUGAUCCCUGUCAGCAACGUCUACAGAGAGAACAGCGAUGCCAACACCAGGUAUACUGAGAUCAUCAGGGAGCAUCAAUCGUUUCUGCUCAAGCUGAAAUCUGAAGUCAAACAGGUUUUUGAUAUUCUGAACUCUUACUUCACCUACAUCAAGCAGAACUCAGAACUGGACACAUUGAAUCACAGAAUAGUGACUGAACAUUUCAAGAAAUAUGUGGACCUUUUUUGUGUGACACCAGGUGAAAGGAGAAAGGAACAGGAAAAUAAAGCUAAUCUCAGCCUGAAAUUGGACAUUGAAGAAUGUAAACGGUUCCUGGAGAGAAACCAAGCAGAUACCUUCUCGGGAAUCCUUCAGUACCUGGACGAGCCUGCAGAGCAGAUGGAGCAGAUAACAGAAUGCUACGCAUUUUUACUGCUAAACAAUGAGAAACAUUGUAAAACAAAAAUCAAUUAUAUUAUGUCCAACAUCGUCCUCUACAACCUAAAGGCAAACUCUAAACAUGUGAAGAAGUACACAGAGCUCUGCAAUCUGCUUCAAGAGGUUCUCCAGGAUGUAGGCCUUCACCAUCCGGUCCCAGAUCCGUUUUUUCUGGCUCUCCUGUUAUUCUGGCCAAGUCCUACAGACGAAAACAGCGACAUAACCAAAUUUGUGACAGCUAUUCGAAAGUCUUCCCACAAGUAUCUGUCCAAGUUUCAAAAGAGGAGCACUGUCGCCUACUUCUACCUGGGCAAAGAAGAAGGACUGAAGAGACUGGUUUCAAAACCUUCGCUGGAUAAGAGUUUUCUGUUCAAGAUGCAUCGGGAUGAUCUGGCCCAACUUUGGUGGAGUGGAGAAAUAUUUAGGGAAGAAGCCAUCAUCAGCCGCCUCUACAGGGUGAGGGGAACUGUGGUGCAGGGGCAGGUCUUCGCUAACUACGGCAAACAGAAAAUCCUGGUGCGUCCAGCUCGCAUCAGUGGAAUCAGAAGUGGAUGCAGCACUGAAAAAGUCUCUUUCUACAUUGGGUUUUCCAUUAAUGGACCCCUUGCAUACAAUAUCAAGUAUGAAAAUUAGAGAUGAGAUCAGGCAUCUACAAACUGAACCUGGAUAGGCAGCUGUUGGAAGGAUUUUAUACUUAAUUAUCAUUUAUUGGCUUUAUAUUUAUGUUAUAAUAUCAUAUAUUUUUUUAACUUUUGCAUUUAAAUUUUAAUGAUGUGCUUUGAGUGUUUUGAAGUGCUUUGAGUGUUUUGAAGUGUUUGCAGAAACUCUGGAAGCGGCCUGCAGAGGAGUGAAAAAGAAGGAUACCAUGAACGAGACAUUCCGGCGUUGAUUGCCCAGAGGAACUGCAAACCUACAGUCAUUUAGACCUAACAGCAGCAAAGAGCCAAAGCUUCUCCAAAAGAAAUGACCACUCCUCUGGAGUUUCAAAUGUUUCAUGAACAGGAAGAAGGGCUGGACUGAUGUUAACCACCAGCUUGACCUUCUCUCUUGUUAACCAGCUUGAUUGUAUGUUGUGAAGUCAACCUGAUGGACCUACGACGAACAGAGAAAGGUUACAUAUCCAUCACAUUUACUUUGAAACACAGAAGGUGGUGGUCUGACCUGCUGUUGAUCAACUAAUAUAUAUUCAGGCUUUUUUU